rnacentral:rRNA from 1 species
GAUGAACGCUGGCGGCGUGCCUAAUACAUGCAAGUCGAGCGAACAGACGAGGAGCUUGCUCCUCUGACGUUAGCGGCGGACGGGUGAGUAACACGUGGAUAACCUACCUAUAAGACUGGGAUAACUUCGGGAAACCGGAGCUAAUACCGGAUAAUAUAUUGAACCGCAUGGUUCAAUAGUGAAAGACGGUUUUGCUGUCACUUAUAGAUGGAUCCGCGCCGCAUUAGCUAGUUGGUAAGGUAACGGCUUACCAAGGCAACGAUGCGUAGCCGACCUGAGAGGGUGAUCGGCCACACGGGAACUGAGACACGGUCCAGACUCCUACGGGGGGCAGCAGUAGGGAAUCUUCCGCAAUGGGCGAAAGCCUGACGGAGCAACGCCGCGUGAGUGAUGAAGGUCUUCGGAUCGUAAAACUCUGUUAUUAAGGAAGAACAAAUGUGUAAGUAACUAUGCACGUCUUGACGGUACCUAAUCAGAAAGCCACGGCUAACUACGUG